UGUCACUCGCCUACAGAUGCUAGCGAAUCUCCACAAGCUCCUUCGUCACCAAGAACUAUAGACGACUUGCGGGAAGCGUCUGUGCCACCUCAAAGCCACUCGCCAGGAACUAUCGACGACUUGCGAGAAGUGUCCGUGCCACCUCUCAGUCACUCGCCUACAGCUGCUAGAGAUUCUCCACAAGCUCCUUGGUCGCCAGGAACUAUAGACGACUUGCGGGAAGCGUCUGUGCCACCCCAAAGCCACUCGCCAGGAACUAUCGACGACUUGCGAGAAGUGUCCGUGCCACCUCUCAGUCACUCGCCUACAGCUGCUAGAGAUUCUCCACAAGCUCCUUGGUCGCCAGGAACUAUAGACGACUUGCGGGAAGCGUCUGUGCCACCUCAAAGCCACUCGCCAGGAACUAUCGACGACUUGCGAGAAGUGUCCGUGCCACCUCUCAGUUACUCGCCUACAGCUGCUAGAGAUUCUCCACAAGCUCCUUGGUCGCCAGGAACUAUAGACAACUUGCAAGAAGUGUCCGUGCCACCUCAAAGCCACUGGCCUACAGCUGCUAAAGAAUCUCCACGAGCUCCUUCGUCACCAGGAACUAUAGACGACGUGCGAGAAGUGUCCGUGCCACCUCGUAGCCCGUCCCCGACAAAGGAGUUCCCAGACGCAUCCUCGCCAGUUCAAGCUGCUCAAACUCAACCUCAGUCGCCUGUACGAACAGAAGUAUCCAUACCAUUACAGGGCCCGGAG
rnacentral:lncRNA from 1 species